GACUUACCCUUUUUGGGUGGAGAGGAAGGAUGUUCUUUCUUAUAUAUGCUUGUUGCAUUAUUGAUUCCAAGUUUAAUUUUCUACAUGAGAAAACAAAUACUAUUUGUGGAUAGAUAGAGAGAGAAGUGCCACUUGCAUCAUCAACACCAAUUAUGAUAAGCAUCUUCCUUUUUCUAAGGAAAACCAUGUGAAUGACAGAAGAAAAAA
rnacentral:lncRNA from 1 species